GUGCUCGCUUUGGAAGCACAUAUACAAAAAUCGGAAUGAUACAGAGAAUAGCAAGCCCAUAUCAAAGAAGAAACACAAGUUCAUGAAGUGUUCCAUAUUUUC